rnacentral:rRNA from 1 species
AGAGUUUGAUCCUGGCUCAGGAUGAACGCUAGCUACAGGCUUAACACAUGCAAGUCGAGGGGCAGCAUGAAAGUUUGCUUGCAAACUUUUGAUGGCGACCGGCGCACGGGUGAGUAACACGUAUCCAACCUGCCUCAUACUCGGGGAUAGCCUUUCGAAAGAAAGAUUAAUACCCGAUGUCAUAGUCCUACCGCAUGAUGGGAUUAUUAAAGAAUUUCGGUAUGGGAUGGGGAUGCGUUCCAUUAGUUAGUUGGCGGGGUAACGGCCCACCAAGACAACGAUGGAUAGGGGUUCUGAGAGGAAGGUCCCCCACAUUGGAACUGAGACACGGUCCAAACUCCUACGGGAGGCAGCAGUGAGGAAUAUUGGUCAAUGGACGAGAGUCUGAACCAGCCAAGUAGCGUGAAGGAUGACUGCCCUAUGGGUUGUAAACUUCUUUUAUAUGGGAAUAAAAUGUUCCACGUGUGGGAUUUUGUAUGUACCAUAUGAAUAAGGAUCGGCUAACUCCGUGCCAGCAGCCGCGGUAAUACGGAGGAUCCGAGCGUUAUCCGGAUUUAUUGGGUUUAAAGGGAGCGUAGGUGGAUUGUUAAGUCAGUUGUGAAAGUUUGCGGCUCAACCGUAAAAUUGCAGUUGAAACUGGCAGUCUUGAGUACAGUAGAGGUGGGCGAAAUUCGUGGUGUAGCGGUGAAAUGCUUAGAUAUCACGAAGAACUCCGAUUGCGAAGGCAGCUCACUGGACUGCAACUGACACUGAGGCUCGAAAGUGUGGGUAUCAAACAGGAUUAGAUACCCUGGUAGUCCACACAGUAAACGAUGAAUACUCGCUGUUUGCGAUAUCCGGCAAGCGGCCAAGCGAAAGCAUUA